GUUUAUUGAUUGGUUCUUUGUGAAUGAGGGAGACAGAGGGGGAAAUAGCCACCACAACAGUCACUUGUCCCUAUCUUACAGCUCACCAGGAAGCGUCCCUCAUCCUACAGGACGUGUCCUGUGUUGAGGCUCCCGGGAACCCUCAGGAAGGAAGGUCAAUCAUCUAGGUCAGGCUCUGAGAUGCUACACUUGCCAGCAACCCACGGACACUGCCGAAUGCAAGAAUAUCAGCAUGUGCGCUCCUGGACACGUGGCCUGUCUCACCAGAAAGCACUCUGUAGAUUCAGGCUAUCCCUUCACAGGCAACAUCAGCUUUACCAAGUCCUGUGA
rnacentral:lncRNA from 1 species